UACGUAGGGUCCGAGCGUUGUCCGGAAUUAUUGGGCGUAAAGGGCUCGUAGGCGGUUGUCGCGUCGGGAGUGAAAACUCAGGGCUUAACCCUGAGCCUGCUUCCGAUACGGGCAGACUAGAGGUAUGCAGGGGAGAACGGAAUUCCUGGUGUAGCGGUGAAAUGCGCAGAUAUCAGGAGGAACACCGGUGGCGAAGGCGGUCUCUGGGCAUUACCUGACGCUGAGGAGCGAAAGUGUGGGGAGGCGAACAGG
rnacentral:rRNA from 1 species